AGAGUUUGAUCAUGGCUCAGGAUGAACGCUAGCGGCAGGCUUAACACAUGCAAGUCGAGGGGCAGCACGGAGUAGCAAUACUCUGGCGGCGACCGGCGGAAGGGUGCGUAACGCGUGAGCAACUUGCCCGCAUCAGGGGGAUAAUCGUUGGAAACGACGUCUAAUACCCCGUAACAACGGAUGCUGCAUGGUAUCCGUUUGAAAGCUCCGGCGGAUGCGGAUGGGCUCGCGUGACAUUAGCUAGUCGGCGGGGUAACGGCCCACCGAGGCGACGAUGUCUAGGGGUUCUGAGAGGAAGGUCCCCCACACUGGAACUGAGACACGGUCCAGACUCCUACGGGAGGCAGCAGUGAGGAAUAUUGGUCAAUGGGCGGAAGCCUGAACCAGCCAUGCCGCGUGCAGGAAUGAGGCCCUAUGGGUCGUAAACUGCUUUUGUGGCGGAGCAAUAAGGUGUACGUGUACACCGAUGAGAGUACGUCACGAAUAAGCAUCGGCUAACUCCGUGCCAGCAGCCGCGGUAAUACGGAGGAUGCGAGCGUUAUCCGGAUUUAUUGGGUUUAAAGGGUGCGUAGGCUGGCGUUCAAGUCAGGGGUGAAAUCCCGGGGCCCAACCCCGGAACUGCCUUUGAUACUGUCCGUCUUGAAUUCGGAUGCCGUGGGAGGAAUGAGUAGUGUAGCGGUGAAAUGCAUAGAUAUUACUCAGAACACCGAUUGCGAAGGCAUCUCACGAAUCCGACAUUGACGCUGAGGCACGAAAGCGUGGGGAUCAAACAGGGUUAGAUACCUUGGUAGUCCACGCAGUAAACGAUGAUAGCUAACCGUCGGCGACACACAGUCGGUGGUCAAGCGAAAGCGAUAAGUCAUCCACCUGGGGGAGUACGACCGCAAGGUUGAAACUCAAAGGAAUUGACGGGGGCCCGCACAAGCGGAGGAACAUGUGGUUUAAUUCGAUGAUACGCGAGGAACCUUACCCGGGCUCGAACGGCUGGUGAACGGAGCAGAGAUGCCGAGGUCCUUCGGGACGCCAGUCGAGGUGCUGCAUGGUUGUCGUCAGCUCGUGUCGUGAGAUGUUGGCUCAAGUGCCAUAACGAGCGCAACCCUUGCCGCCAGUUACCAUCAAGUAGUGUUGGGGACUCUGGCGGGACUGCCACCGCAAGGUGUGAGGAAGGCGGGGAUGACGUCAAAUCAGCACGGCCCUUACGUCCGGGGCGACACACGUGUUACAAUGGGGGUUACAGAAGGAAGCUACCUGGUGACAGGAUGCGGAUCUAAAAAAGCCCCCUCAGUUCGGAUCGGAGUCUGCAACCCGACUCCGUGAAGCUGGAUUCGCUAGUAAUCGCGCAUCAGCCAUGGCGCGGUGAAUACGUUCCCGGGCCUUGUACACACCGCCCGUCAAGCCAUGAAAGCCGGGGGCGCCUGAAGUCCGUGACCGCGAGGAGCGGCCUAGGGUGAAACUGGUAAUUGGGGCUAAGUCGUAACAAGGUAACC
rnacentral:rRNA from 1 species